rnacentral:lncRNA from 1 species
NNNNNNNNNNNNNNNNNNNNNNNNNNNNNNNNNNNNNNNNNNNNNNNNNNNNNNGCACAUCUUUUUUAUUUUUAUAGCUUUUCUGUUUUCUGAGUUCUAAGAAGGCACACAAUCAGAGAAUCAUAUAACAUAUUAGAAGUCAGUAAAUUCUAGCACAUAUUCACUUCUUUCUUAAUAAUUUUCCAAGAUUCCUGGUUCCAGAUAACUGUUACAGCUGGAAAAUCCAGAGUACAACUCACACACAUGAUUAAUAAAUGUCAGAGAAAAUAUCUGUGGAAAAUCGGAUUAGAUUGUUCUUCAACAUACUCUUUUAAAGCAGGAUGUGUCUUAUUCCUAUAAGAAAAUGAUCAUUUUUCAGCCUAGAAAAGACUCAGUGAAUACUGGUUGCUAUUAUCAAGUAGGCUUUGUAACUUCCCCAGUAGAAAGAGUGGGAGUAAGAAAGUUUACCACAUCAUGUAAGAGAAUGAUGUUGGGUUUUAGAGAAUUAUCCUCUGAAAGUGAAACUAUUACACAUUAGAUGGAAGCAUUGUUGCUGUGAGCUAAAAGAAGUUAUUUUUUAGUCUCUUUAAACAUAUGAAGGCUUAGGCUCAUCUUUGUGCAUGUCUAAAGUUUAAUCUGUCCUAAAUGCAUAAGCAUUAAUGGCCUUCUCUCAUCCCCUCCUUAUGAGGUCCUUUGCCACACUUAAAUGACAAUUAUAAGUAUGAAAUUUCUAUUUGUGGAACAAGGAGUAGUUAUGAUCUCACUUUGAUCCCAAGAUGGAUAUCCAACUUCUGAAUGCUUGGGAACAAAGACAACCUGUUAUUACAUGAAUUCUUCGUGACUGGAGAAGACAAGGUAGAAGGAGGAAGAGGGUAAGUGUCCAGGGCCAGGCUGUGGGUCUUCUUCCUGGUGCUCUGUUUUGUGUCACUUGUAGCUCUGGGAGCUUGCCCACAUCCUUAGGAGGUAUGUCUGCAAACCCUACAAAAGACAUUGCAUACUAUGAGCCACAAUCCUUCUGGCCGUACCAAUAGUGGUGCCCUGGGAAUGGCCUAUAUAAAAUAUUUCCUCUUGUCCCGUGUGUUUCACGAUGAAGCUGAUGGAGGCUGGGAGGUUGUAUUUUGCCAUCUCGUCAAAACUACAAAAGAAAAAGGGAAGUUGACAUCCCCUUGCUUCCAGAAUGUGAUGCUAACCCUUGAAGAUAAUGAACAGGACCACAGCAGCCAGCACUAUUAUUCAAGAGUUCAUGGAGCGUCUGAUCUACAAAUAUGGAACCCCUCAUGACAUACCUCAAAUAAAGGGAAUCACUGCAGGUCAAAGAAGGUGCAUUCCUCAGUAUUAUGGCCUUGGAAGGCCACUGGUCUGAGACCAUAACCACCAUCAAGAGGCUGCUAGCCCAACCAAGCAAUGAAAUCACCAGCCAGUAGAGAUGCCAGCUGCGAGAUGACAUCCUGUAUCUAUGGGUCCUGUCCUUAAGGACUCAUUCGAUACCUUAAACAAAUGACUGAAUAUAUUGCUGCUUCCUCUAAUCAGUAGAACACGGAGUCUAAGAAAAAAGGGGUAGGAUUAAGAAUGGUCUUACUCACUGUCAUACAGUAACUCACUUGGGAGUUUGUCCUUUCUGUCCUCACAAUUUAAGGCUCUUAUAGAUCUAGAGGCCCUGGUCCCAAUACAGAAGACAUGUCCACUAGUUCACACAGUAAACAUCCUAAUAAUAAAGCCAUGACUGCUUGAAGGCUAUGACUUUGGGCUCCUCAUGAUAGAAGACUAGAGGGCAGCAGUGACAAAGAAAGGAAUUACUAUAUUGGCAGGAGUCAUUGCCCUUGAUCAUCAUGACGAGGUAGAGAUUCUGAUACAGAAUGAGGAUGGAAAAACAUACUUGAUGUUCAAGAGAUUCAGUGGGACAUCUUUUGUUACUCUGUUGCCUUGCUUUCCCUAAAAAAGUACAAGUACUGCAACUAUGACCUGUUACAGGCACAGUAACCCUUCAGGAUAAGGGCUUGGCUUGCCACAUCAGGAGACACAGCUGAGAGGGAGGGGAAUCUACAGUGGGUAGUACAGGUGGGAAUUCACAAGUGACAGCCAUGGCAUUAGGAUCAGUGGCAAUGGCAGAUGUCAUACUUUGUUCCACUCACCUUCUUCUUAUAAGUUUCCACAGAAAUUCUGACCUGCCCAUACCCUGGAAAACCUGUACCUGGAUGAAAUAAGCUUAAUGUGAAAAACAAAAGGAUCUGUGUAAUGUAAGAGGUGCACUCUCUGUUAUUUUGGUGUUCACCCAGACUUCCUUUCCAAAGUAGGUGGACCUCCCAGAUGUUGUAGGUGUUGCUUUCUAAGUGCUCAUUAUUGCCCCUCUAUCCCCCAGGGCAAAUGGCAGUUGCCUUACCUAGGAGACUACACCAAUAAAAGUAGCCUUAAGAAAUAACUAACUGCUGUGGCAAUGCAAGAGGCUAACUCCUUAACUUCAAGGCUGGACAGCUUCCACGAUGCAGUUCCUGGAUCCAUAAGCUCCCCUGAGAUCAGACUCCAGUGGGACUUAGCUGAGCCACACCCUUCCCUAGCUCCUUUCCUUGCCCUUCUGGAUUUCCACAUGACCUUCUCCUGAUGGUAGACCAGCAAUAAAUCACGUGCUCCUGACUCCCUGUCUCUGGCACUGCUUCUAGACAACUCAAAAGCACUUACUGUAUUUUUAAAUUACCCUCAAUAUUUUAUUACAGUAUUCACAAAAUUAGGUCAGACCCUGAAAAAUGAUUACUAUAAUUAUGUUAAGUCUAUGUUAACAUUUUCUGUCUGGUAGUUCUGACCUUUAUAAGAAUCCAAAAUUACAUUGAUUGAGGUUGUUUCAAGUCAGUAUCUUUCCUGAAAUAUACUUUACUGCUUAAAACUUGAGAGGGCAUUUUAUAAUAUGAGAAACAUCUUUUUCAAGGAGAAAUAUCUAAAGAGAAAACUAAAAAAAAAAGUUGGCUUUUGUUUGAACAAUUAGAUGAAUAAGCAAAAGUAAUCUACUGCAUAUUUUUCUAGUAAGUGACAGAUAUAGGAUUAUAACCCUAGCAACAAAUUCGAGU